GAGGAAUAUUGGUCAAUGGACGCAAGUCUGAACCAGCCACGUCGCGUGAAGGAAGACGGCCCUACGGGUUGUAAACUUCUUUUAUACGGGAAUAAAGUGCCCCACGCGUGGGGUUUUGCAAGUACCGUACGAAUAAGGAUCGGCUAACUCCGUGCCAGCAGCCGCGGUAAUACGGAGGAUCCGAGCGUUAUCCGGAAUUACUGGGCGUAAAGGGUGCGUAGGCGGUUUAUCAAGUCAGGGGUGAAAGGCUACGGCUCAACCGUAGUGAGCCUCUGAAACUGGUGAACUUGAGUGUAGGAGAGGAAAGUGGAAUUCCCAGUGUAGCGGUGAAAUGCGUAGAUAUUGGGAGGAACACCAGUGGCGAAGGCGACUUUCUGGACUACAACUGACGCUGAGGCACGAAAGCGUGGGGAGCAAACA
rnacentral:rRNA from 1 species